rfam:Stomoxys calcitrans breed 8C7A2A5H3J4 unplaced genomic scaffold Scaffold298, whole genome shotgun sequence.
UCUUGGUCUGAAUCUAGCCUCUACUAGGCUUUGUCUGUAAAGUUGUUUGGACCUUGUUCAAGUGCGUUAUAUUCAGACAUAGCCUAAAAGAGGUUAGGUGAAACAGGAUAG